UACACUUUGAUUCUUAGACUUUACCCCUUAAAAUCACUUCCCUUGCCUGCAUUGGUGGAGUUUGUGGUGGUGUUGGCGGAGGGCCCCUUAGCUCUCGCUAUGAACUUGUAUCAUCUUCAGCAGCGAACUCAUUUGUAUAUAUAUACACCCAGGCAUCUAAAGGGGAAGGUUUGUCAAAAAGUCGGUAUUUCGGGUCAACGCCCUGGGGAAGGAAAAGCAUGCUUUAUGAGCGACGCUGACUUUGGGGUUAUGGCAUAAUCCUCAAAAAAUAUGGAGGUUAGCUAAUCUUGUUGUGUCGCAUAAAUAUACCGAUAAGGUUCCACACAGGCACAGCAGCAGAACGAAGC
rnacentral:sRNA from 1 species